CUGCGGAGGACAUUGUAGAGUUCCCUUUCGAACAGUUGUGAAGCCGUACUCAUAUCCAUCGAGAACUAUGUAUUUAUGCUGUGAGCACUUGCAAUGUUUAGAUGGGUUCCCUUUGCUGCCUUCAUCUUGCUUCAUUUGAUGUAAGAAGGAGAGUAGAAAUAUCGAUCGGCACGGUUCGUGCCAAGGAAUGUUUUUGUUGGAGUGCUUGCCAUCUUUUUGAUGUGCAUUGGGUUAUUCUACAAGCGUGAGCAUAUGAAUGACUCCUGGCAAUGGAUAUCUUGGCUCUCGUGUCGAUGAAGAACGUAGCGAAAUGCGACACUUGGUGUGAAUUGCAGAAUCCCGUGAACCAUCGAGUCUUUGAAUGCAAGUUGCGCUCGAGGCCAUUAGGUCGAGGGCACGUCUGCUUGGGUGUCAUGCCUUGCGUCAAAUCUAACUGCCCGCCUACCAUAUACAUGGUGACAUGUUGUUAGCGGCAGUGGAUGUGGAGAUUGACCCUCCGUGCUUUUAUUGUGCGGUUGGUUUAAGUGGAUGUUAUCGUCAGACCUAUGCGCGGUGAACGGUGUAUCGAGUUAACACACGAUGUCUCAAUCCGCCUCCAGCAAUCCUGGCUAUAACGUACCUUUAAUUGAAACCAUUAUCGAUGUUUGCAGAAGUCGCAAAGCUCGGACCAUGACCUCAGAUCAGACG
rnacentral:rRNA from 1 species